GAUGAACGCUAGCAGCAGGCCUAAUACAUGCAAGUCGAACGGGUGGUCGCAAGACCACUAGUGGCGCACGGGUGCGUAACGCGUAACCAACCUGCCCCGAUCUGGGGGAUAGCCCGCCGAAAGGCGGAUUAAUACCGCAUAUACCCGCAGCCUGGCAUCAGGCAACGGGGAAAGAUUUAUUGGAUCGGGAUGGGGUUGCGUGACAUUAGCUAGUUGGCGGGGUAAGGGCCCACCAAGGCGACGAUGUCUAGGGGACCUGAGAGGGUGAUCCCCCACACUGGCACGGAGAUACGGGCCAGACUCCUACGGGAGGCAGCAGUAGGGAAGAUUGGGCAAUGGGCGAGAGCCUGACCCAGCCAUGCCGCGUGCCGGAUGAAGGCCUUCUGGGUUGUAAACGGCUUUUCUCAGGGAAGAAAAAGACCUUGCGAGGUACACUGACGGUACCUGAGGAAUAAGCACCGGCUAACUCCGUG
rnacentral:rRNA from 1 species